rnacentral:rRNA from 1 species
GCAUAUCAAUAAGCGGAGGAAAAGAAACCAACAGGGAUUGCCUCAGUAACGGCGAGUGAAGCGGCAACAGCUCAAAUUUGAAAUCUGGCUCUUUCAGGGUCCGAGUUGUAAUUUGUAGAGGAUGUUUCGGGUGUGGCUCCGGUCUAAGUUCCUUGGAACAGGACGUCAUAGAGGGUGAGAAUCCCGUAUGUGACUGGUAGCCUAUGCCCAUGUGAAACUCCUUCGACGAGUCGAGUUGUUUGGGAAUGCAGCUCAAAAUGGGUGGUAAAUUUCAUCUAAAGCUAAAUAUUGGCCAGAGACCGAUAGCGCACAAGUAGAGUGAUCGAAAGAUGAAAAGCACUUUGGAAAGAGAGUUAAACAGUACGUGAAAUUGUUGAAAGGGAAGCGCUUGCAACCAGACUUGCAUGUAGCUGAUCAACCGGUGUUCUCACCGGUGCACUCAGUUGCGUUCAGGCCAGCAUCGGUUUCGACGGUUGGAUAAAGGCCUUGGGAAUGUAGCUCCUUUCGGGGAGUGUUAUAGCCCAGGGUGCAAUGCAGCCUGUCGGGACCGAGGACCGCGCUUCGGCUAGGAUGCUGGCGUAAUGGUUGUAAGCGACCCGUCUUGAAACACGGACCAAGGAGUCUAACAUCUAUGCGAGUGUUUGGGUGUCAAACCCAUACGCGUAAUGAAAGUGAACGGAGGUGAGAACCCUUAAGGGUGCAUCAUCGACCGAUCCUGAUGUCUUCGGAUGGAUUUGAGUAAGAGCAUAGCUGUUGGGACCCGAAAGAUGGUGAACUAUGCCUGAAUAGGGUGAAGCCAGAGGAAACUCUGGUGGAGGCUCGCAGCGGUUCUGACGUGCAAAUCGAUCGUCAAAUUUGGGUAUAGGGGCGAAAGACUAAUCGAACCAUCUAGUAGCUGGGUUCCUGCCGAAG